UAACGGCCGUGCUGGCUGCAGACUUCUAGGAGAGCGCCCGGUGGACCCGUCUGGUAUACCCCGUCCAGGCACCCAGGACCAGGACCAGGACUGCGGCCGUGUUGUGAUCUGCAGAAACUCACUGCGCACUGUGCCGCGCGCCUCUGUGUCAGCCGCUGGGGCGGAACCAUGAAGAAGGCAGACAGCGGUGCAGUUUCAUGGACCUUCUACCAGGGAAGAAAGGGAGAAGAUUGGCUAAAGCCUGGAGACAGUUAUCAACUAGGGAUAGGAAACAGUUUUCAAGAUUCCCAGUGAACGUGGGCACAUCUGAAACUGAGCAUCGAGGAGAACCACACCUGCUCCCGACCCAGCCACCAUCGCUCAAGUGCCGGGAGGUAGGCUGGGCCCUGAUUCACCGCGGAAAGGAGACCCACGCCAGCUCCCGACCCAGCCGCCAUCGCUCAAGCGCAGGAAAGGUAGCCGCGCGGGUGCCCCUGAACCCCCAUAAGCCCGCCCCUGCACUCUUAGACCUCCUGACUGUGCCAGUCUUUGGACCCACUCUGCAAAGACAGAGGUAGUCAUCAAGGGUAUUUUUCUGAGUCCCCAACUUUGAACAUCUUCA
rnacentral:lncRNA from 1 species